rnacentral:lncRNA from 1 species
UUUGGUCUUAAAUGGUGAUCCAAGGGGACCCACUCCCCUGAUUUUGUCCCCGAGCCCUCUUCUCUCUUUCUUCCUCUCCUCUUCCCUUUCCCCUUUCCCGUAUACUUCUAUUCCUCUCUUCUCUAUGAUCACACUCACACCCAGCUGCACUCCCUGCUCGAGGAAGACGCAAUCACCAUCUAAACCACGUCCCUUUCCUCUUCCUCUUGCCUCUGUGCAACUCGGCGAAACCAAGAAAAUAACCUCCGGCAAGUCCGACGGCUUUCGAAGCCAUUUCCUGCCAAACCACGGCGCGUUGGCCGGCGUGCAAGGUAUCAAUCUCUUCGUCCCGUCAAGUACUAUAACUUUUCUUUUUGUUUCACUCAAUUUAAUUGAGUAUUGAAGAAGUUAUACUCAUUUGAAUCUUACCCAGUUUCCGGCGACCUCCGAGGCUUUCGAGGAAAUUUCAGGCCAAACCAUGGCGAGUCAGACGUGAGGUAUCAUUCUCUUCGUCUCUUCCAGGACUACAACUUUCGUUUUUGUCUCGCUUGAUUUCGUUGAGUAGUGACAAAGUUAUGGCUGUUUAAAGUGGGGUGGUUUUCCGGCCGAAUUUCCGGCCUUCUUCUUCCUUGGCAACAGGCCACCCGGCCUUUCCCUCUCCCUCGGACCUUAGGCCCGUGUUGUCUUAAGCCCAAAACCCUAGCCUUUAGUUUUAAGUUUUAUUAUUUGGUUUUAAAACCCUAAAAAGGGCCUUGGGCCGGUGGUUUUUAAAAAGGGCUUAAAGCCCUGUUUUUCUUUAUUUAUUUUUAUUAAGGCCUUAAGGCCUUGUGAUUUUGUGCCCGUGGGUGUGUGUGUUAGGUGUGUAUGUGUUUAUGCAUGCACAUGCAUGCCGUGUGUGUGUGUGUAUUUGUAGUAUGUGUGUGUUUGGGCUAAAGCCCAAACCCCAAUUCUCACCCUAAAACCAUUUUAACCCAAAAUCCUAGGUUCCUAAAAUCCUUUAAAACCCUAAACCCAUCCAAUCCCAAAUCCCCUAUUUUAUUUAAACCUAAACCCUAAUCCGGAUUUCAAGCCUAAAACCCAUUUGACCGUUGACCCCCGGUCAACGUUGAUUUUAGGGUUGACUUUUCGGGUUUUCGUCCGGGACCCUUCUUAGGGUAAUUCGACGUUCUAAAUCCGUUUCCAAUGUCCAUUUUCCCAAAUUCAAUUGUUAUUAUAUAGUUUUAUUUAUUGGACUCUUUAUGUGCUUAGGGGCAAUUAUUGUGACGUUUCCAUCUUCGCUAGUGGCACAGCUUUUGGCAACUAAGUAUUGUGAGUGGACCCCUUCUAGAAUUACAUGAUUUGAUAAUUUAAUUGCAUAAAUGAUUAGCAUGCCUACGAAUUUAUGAUUUGAUUUAUGUGAAGCCUGAUGAUUUAAUAUAUUGAUUAUCGUCUCGGGUUUUGGUGAGGAAUUAUUUGUUAGCCUAUAUUGAGCUAUAUUUUAAUAUAUCGUAUUUUCUAUUAAAACCAUGAACUGGUAGACUAUCUGAUAGAUGACGAUAGGAUGCUAGAACAUGUUUUUGAACCCCUCUUUAUAGUGUAGACGAUGAUCGGUAACCUAUGCUAUGAAGUGGUUUUUUUUAGAGAGACGUAACUAUUUGUGCGUACCUAGUAGACACUAUGCCGCCUGGGGCAAGGAACUGGUGUUGGCAUUUAGGCCGGGAGAAAUAAUCCCUAGCGAAAGGCUGAGGGACACGGAGACAGGCAGUGGGCCAAGAGGGAGUUAUCUCUGGCUACGGGCACAGAGACUGAGGUGCAAGCAUUGGGCCGGGAGUUAUAUUUAUUCAGUGAUCUUUCUAGCAGCACACUGCGUUUACGAGACGAUUUAUGAUGCGUUUACUGUUUUGAUUUCCGCGAUGUUUUUCCGCGUUAUGGCGUUUGAGAUAUUUUUGGCAUACUAGGAUUUUUAUUAAAUCCAUCACUUAUUAUGCUAGUAGUUUUCAUUUAUAUAAACUUUGGGGGUUAGUAUGUUGAUAAUUGUUUUAUUAUUAUUGUAUAUAUAAACUUGGUCCACUCACCUUUGUUUUGCGCCCCCAUUCAGGACUUAGAAUCAAGGCACCUAAUCCCGGCGUGAAGACACUUUCGCAGCAGCAUCUUCGGAUCCUCUCGAUGUAGGACUCACUCCUUUACUCAUUAAAUUUUAUCUUAAUUCUUUUUAGUGAUUAGAUUUAGUUGUAUGCUCUGAGCACGUUCCUAAAACUUUUAACUCUUAGUUUUUAAAUUCAUAACACUUACUUAUUUCUUAUUCUUAGCUUUUGUAUCAAUUAAUGGCUUUCGUCACCCUCGGGUGUCGGCCAGCAUGUGUCUUCCUGGUAUUCGGGGAAUAUCAGGGUCGGGGCGUGUCACAAUAUUUACGGAUUAAUUACAAAAUUUUGCUAAUACCUAUUGCAGAUUUCGAACUGUAGAAUUUUUUUUAUAAAUUUUUUCUUUAAUUUCAACUAAAUCUGAAUGAGUACUUACCCCAUUGUAAAUUUCCAUCGAAGACUUUCCAACUAUAUCGAUAUUUUAAACACUGGUUUAGACCAACAUGUUUAAUAUCCAGUGCAUGCAAAUAGAAUGUCAAAUCUUUUUGAAAAACUUCAGUAUGACUGCCACUUAAGGGCAACUAGCAUAUUAAAGAGACCAAUGCAAAGUUGGAUGAGACUAAAAUACAUAAAGUCUCAUGUUUUGGUGAGAUGUGGUUUACAAAUGAUAUAGCAUGUGCCCUACGAAAAACGAGAUCGGAUUACCUAAUUGAAGUUUCUCUAGCAUGAAAAAUUCAAGAGGGAUGUGACGGUUCCGGAAAGUAAAAAAUCACACAUUUUUAUUAAUAAUUUUUUUGUUCGAAUUCGGAAAUGUAUAGAACUGAACAAAUGGAAUAGUGGCUCAGUGAUACCAACAAUUUCAUGUUGCAAAUUACAAAAAAAAAAAAAAAAAAAAAAAAAAAAGGAAAUGUUUUACACAAAAUUAAUGACAAUUAGAGUUAAACAACAGAAACUUGCACUUUAAAUGGUUUUUUUCUGCUGCUUUUGGUAUGUAUAUGCUUUUUCCGCACCGCUGGCUACUGUAUUCUCGGUAAUUUUCAUCGUCAUCCCAGCUGCGUUGCGAGCAUGAACGUUUGAUUCCUGUCAUUGGGGUUUCACAUACUCUGUCAUCACAUGAACCUCCAUGAUCCUUCCUUUUAAACAGCUUUCGAAGUGGAUUUGACUUUGGUUUCAAUGGUUUCAGCUGUUUUGGGGCCCAAAUUCUCUGCAGAUCGGGCAUCCAUCUUGUGGAGUAAGCGAAC